AUCUUAGGACUUAGGGCGGGUGCACUCCAUCACCCGGCCGGAGAUCUACUCUCCGACAGCAGUCAUGCACGGAGGAGGCGGAGGACAAGCUGGCGGCCGUAGGCACCACCAAUGUCAACCUCUCUGUGCUGUUCGUGUCGGAUCUGUCGUCUACUCGUCUUGCACAACAUCGCUGCCACUUCGCGUGCUGCUCAAAGCUGGAGUGGACGGGACUCUCAUUGUUCAACAUAUUAAUCAUAUCUCAUUGUGUUGAACAAGGUGGUUGAUAUGCUUCCACACCUAAAAACAUGACAUUGUGCGGGUCGGUGUGCCACCGCCUGUAGGGUGUUCGAGGAAAAUGCCAGUGAAGGAUGUGGUUCCGUUGACCAGCAUGGUGUACAUUGGAUUUUGGAAGACAAUCUCACACCUGGAUCUGAGUGUCUUGUUUAUACUUUUGCAUUUUCUGAUGUGGUCAUAUUAUAAUAUGAUUUAAUACACCUUGCAUUAGUUUUAUAGUAUAGGACUAUAAAUUCAUUUUCUAUGCCCUCUAUAAAUUUGCAUGUAAUUCUUUGUUUGAGAUCAUUGGAAAAGAUUCCUUAUCUACCUGGUUAUGAGAAGAAAAAAUAGCUAUACUGCAUAAUUGAUUAUUGGAAAAAAAAUCCAAAGAAAUUAACAUAUGUUAGCUAUAGAAUUUUCAGUUUUUAUAUUUUUUCACGUUUGAGAUUCAUCUUGUAGUUAUUCAUUGCAAUGGAAUGAAUGCAUGGUUGUCCACUAUUAGACGUGGAUGAGUCUGGGUAUAUAAACUAAACUGAACUCCUCUUGGAGUAGAAAUAGGUAUUGAUUUUUGCACAUUGUUUCGAUUUGUAGUCUUGUGACCUCAAUGUUAACUAUUUCACUUUUGAUAAAUUGUAAUUUUAUGGUGCACUGAGGAACCAACACAGAUGAAGGAUAAAAUUCUAGGGAGAAUGCUCUAAAAGAGCUGCAACGUGCACCUCUAUUGAUUCUUGGCCUGGUGCUAUCAUCCAUGCCAUCUAGCACUGCAGACCAAAAGGAGGUAAUGAAGGGAUUAAUUGUAUUUGCUAGCGAUUGGAAAUCGAUUAUAGUUUGAACGAGGAAUUCAGGGUGAUCCCAGGACUGAGAGAAUAUGGCGACCACUACUUCGACACAGACAAUUGAUGGCUCAUACAGUCAUACCACUGUAUGGUUGUGUGAAAAUCCCACUUGGUCCCUGGAUAGGAAUGAUAUCUUGCAAGUAAUAUUCAAUAUGGAGGCGUAAUUGUGUUUAAUAGUCGGCAUGCCUUAGUAAUGUGUACAACCUUCUACAUAAAGCUUGACCAAGGACAAUGGGGAUGCUAGAGAAGGAUAUGUGAAUGGAGAAUGUGGUGUAUGUUUUGUCUUGUACGGGUGCAGAAACAUUGAUGUUUUCAAAUAAAUGUCUUUGAUUCAAAUAA